CGACUUUAUGCAGAACCCGGCCUUAUUAGAGACUUGGAAAAUAGCCCCACAGCUUUGCCGUGACAUUCUUUUUUCUUUUUUUCUGCAGCUGAAGAUCAUUAUCAGAUAGAAACAUCCUUUCUCUAUGAGUUCUUGUCAAGGCCAUGAUGUCGCCUGCAGUGACUACGGCGUUAUUGCAAACUUCAGUGGAACGUGAAAUGUGUGGUCUUAAGGGUGUAUGCUUAUGAACACAGCCAUGGCUGUUCUGAGCAUAUGCUGUAUCAUCCAAAGGACAUCGGUGACAGAAAUCUCCCAGGCAUCUAGUGCUUGAGCUGCUAAGUUGGGAUGUGGAAGACCCACGUUCAAGUCUUUCUCUGGUCUCAUCCAGGCUAGCUACUUGUGUCCUUUAUGUUACAGGUGAGGCUCUGAUCAUCAGAAAUUGUCUAUCUUACAUCUUUUCUCCCCACUUCUCCCCAACCCUCUAUCCAUCCCUUCCCUCUCUACCCUUCCCAGAAAAAAAAAAAAAAUCUCUUUUAAGCCAGAAUGUUACCCUUCUGUAUGAUGGCCAAAUAGCUGGUGUCACUGAUUUCAGGGCAUGGGAGAACUAUGUCUUACCUAGUUCUAAUCUAGGCCUCUGAUAUCUUGCCUUUGUGGUGACUGCCUAUUAAGGC
rnacentral:lncRNA from 1 species